UAGCCCAAGGAGAUAAAUGUAAUGAGAACACAUAACUCAUGGCUCAGAGAACAGAUUUCCUGCGGGAGCUCUGUCUCUCUGACCCCAGCACUCUAUUUCCUGUUGUAAAGAGCGAGAACAGAACUGGAUGCGCCCUUUUGAACAGAGAGAAGAACAAAGUCAAGGGAAGCUGGGAUUUCCAAGUUUCCCAUGUCUUUUGAAGAGAAGCUUUGCUAGAAAUGUCACUCACUCGCCUCAUGCUGGCCCAUGUGUGGGCCACCUCUCGCAAACCAGGUCUGGGCCACCAAAGGGCCGUCAUUCUUUAUGGUAUGUUGGCCAAGUGCACUGUGUGGGCCAGAACCAGGCCAGACCAAUUUUGCUAUUUGGGAGUGCUCUGGACUUAUUACUAUCUCCAUCCUGCUAUUGCCUGAGUGACCUGUGGCUAGCUUGUCAUCUCUUCAUACUGACUCCAGCCACUGCAUCUCCUCCGAACCCAGCGUUCUUUACUCGUCCCACCAGAGUUUCCUGGCUACACUCAUCAGUCACUGCCAACCUUCACUGCCAUUAUCUGCGCUGCCCUGCCACCUCCAGUUCUUCAGCUGUACCACCUCGGAUACAAACCUCACUGUCAGACUGCACCAGCAUAGUGAUAUUGUCUGUUUUUCUGUUGCAAUAAAGACGGUGAUCUGUAUUGACCCAGAUGGCAGGUAUCAGCCUGUUUCUCUCUCACCUCCACGUGAGACAGCUGACAUAACACUAUCUGCCUUACUGUAUUUAGCUCAUAAUUCUUCAAGUUGUGUGGAAGGCAUGAUCUGGUUAUUAAUACUAUUUUAUGUUAGUACAUUUUCUGAUCGGUGCACUAUAUCUGCUAGGGUAAAUUUAUUUAUUUUUUGUUAUUGACCCGUGGAUCAAAGAGCUAGAGUAAAUACCUAUAUUACAUUCAUCCUUUGUAAAAAUGUUUUCUAUGACCGCAACCUUAUUUGCCAUGUUGUCGUCCUGCUGUUGGCACAUGGGAGUCACACUGCAUGACUGUAUGACAGUUAUUAACUUGGAUCCUCUCUUUUUUUCUUGCAGUGUCUCUCUGACUGAAAUCAUAUCAGUAUGCCGAACCAAACCAAUUAAAUUUCCAAAAGCCUCAGUCUUUAUUGCAUUAAUCUUAAUGUCUCAAAUACAAAACACAAGAUUAUACAAGAUUAUAUAUAUCAUUUUCUACACAUUUCUGA